rnacentral:rRNA from 1 species
CCUACGGGAGGCAGCAGUGGGGAAUAUUGCACAAUGGGGGAAACCCUGAUGCAGCGACGCCGCGUGAGUGAAGAAGUAUUUCGGUAUGUAAAGCUCUAUCAGCAGGGAAGAAAAUGCCGGUACCUGUUUAAGAAGCCCCGGCUAACUACGUGCCAGCAGCCGCGGUAAUACGGAGGGGGCAAGCGUUAUCCGGAUUUACUGGGGGUAAAGGGAGCGUAGACGGCAGCACAAGUCUGGAGUGAAAUGCCUGGGCUUAACCCCGGAACUGCUUUUGAAACUGUGCAGCUCGAGUGCAGGAGAGGGAAGUGGAAUUCCUGGUGUAGCGGUGAAAUGCGUAGAGAUCAGGAGGAACACCAGUGGCGAAGGCGGCGUACUGGAC